UUACUCUUUCAUUAUUUUGUCACAGUGGAACAGUUUCAACCUAAGAAAUGGCAGGAGACCCCACCUCUGAAUACCACAUAGUUCAGUGGUUAGAGCACUCCUCUCAGACAUGCAAGACCCCUCUUCAAAUCCUUUCUUCUGCCCCAGCGGAAACCUGGGAGACAUGUGUCCCUGAUGAUGACAGAUUCUGAUAGAUAAUGAUCUAAAGCACUAUGGACUGAUGCAUGUUCAUUUUCCUCAUCUGAGUCAGAUGUCACUGGCAGAUUCAUAAAUCCAAGGCUAGAAGAAAUGACUGUGACCACCUAGUCUGACCUCUUGUAUAACAAAGGCCAUAAAACAUCCCCAAAAUGAUUCCUAGAGCAUAAACUUUUAAAAAAGAAAGC